rnacentral:rRNA from 1 species
AUACGUAGGGGGCGAGCGUUGUCCGGAAUGAUUGGGCGUAAAGGGCGCGUAGGCGGCCCGGUAAGUCUGGAGUGAAAGUCCUGUUUUUAAGAUGGGAAUUGCUUUGGAUACUGUCGGGCUUGAGUGCAGGAGAGGUAAGUGGAAUUCCAGGGUAGCGGUGAAAUGCGUAGAGCUUGGGAGGAACACCAGUGGCGAAGGCGACUUACUGGACUGUAACUGACGCUGAGGCGCGAAAGUGUGGGGAGCAAACAGGAUUAGAUACCCUGGUAGUCCACACUGUAAACGAUGAAUGCUAGGUGUAGGGGGUAUCGACCCCUUCUGUGCCGCAGUCAACACAAUAAGCAUUCCGCCUGGGGAGUACGGCCGCAAGGUUGAAACUCAAAUGAAUUGACGGGG